rnacentral:rRNA from 1 species
GCGAACGCUGGCGGCAGGCCUAACACAUGCAAGUCGAGCGGGCCCUUCGGGGUCAGCGGCAGACGGGUGAGUAACACGUGGGAACGUGCCCAUCGGUUCGGAACAACCCAGGGAAACUUGGGCUAAUACCGGAUACGACCUUACGGUGAAAGAUUUAUCGCCGAUGGAUCGGCCCGCGUCUGAUUAGCUAGUUGGUGAGGUAACGGCUCACCAAGGCGACGAUCAGUAGCUGGUCUGAGAGGAUGAUCAGCCACACUGGGACUGAGACACGGCCCAGACUCCUACGGGAGGCAGCAGUGGGGAAUAUUGGACAAUGGGCGCAAGCCUGAUCCAGCCAUGCCGCGUGAGUGAUGACGGCCCUAGGGUUGUAAAGCUCUUUCGGCGGGGACGAUAAUGACGGUACCCGCAGAAGAAGCCCCGGCUAACUUCGU